GACGAACGCUGGCGGCGUGCUUAACACAUGCAAGUCGAACGGAAAGGCCCUGCUUUUGUGGGGUGCUCGAGUGGCGAACGGGUGAGUAACACGUGAGUAACCUGCCCUUGACUUUGGGAUAACUUCAGGAAACUGGGGCUAAUACCGGAUAGGAGCUCCUGUUGCAUGGUGGGGGUUGGAAAGUUUCGGCGGUUGGGGAUGGACUCGCGGCUUAUCAGCUUGUUGGUGGGGUAGUGGCUUACCAAGGCUUUGACGGGUAGCCGGCAUGAGAGGGUGACCGGCGACAUUGGGACUGAGAUACGGCCCAGACUCGUACGGGAGGCAGCAGGGGGGAAUAUUGCACAAUGGGCGGAAGCCUGAGGAAGAGACGCCGCGUGCGGGAUGACGGCCUUCGGGUUGUAAACCGCUUUAGCCUGUGACGAAGCGGGAGUGACGGUAAUGGGUAAAGAAGCACCGGCUAACUACGUG
rnacentral:rRNA from 1 species